rnacentral:tRNA from 1 species
UCCCCAGUGACUUAAAUGGUAAAGAAUCUGUCUGCAAUGCAGGAGACCCAGGUCCAAUCCUUGGAUGGGGAA